rnacentral:lncRNA from 1 species
UGGGCUAUAGCUCGACUGGGAUCCAUUACUAUACGAAAACACAAUUUAAGCUGUCAGGAAUCAUCACAAUAUCACAGAGUAUAUAUGGCAUGUAUAGCUAGACUCUCACACACGCUACGUUAGUCCUAGAAUCAACUAAACCGUAGCUCUAAUAUCAAUAAAAUGUAACACCCCUAACCCGUAUCUAUUGUCGGAGUAGGGUUACGAGGUAUUACCAAUUAAUU